ACGAACGCUGGCGGCGUGCCUAAUCCAUGCAAGUUGAGCGCUGAAGGUUGGUACUUGUACCAACUGGAUGAGCAGCGAACGGGUGAGUAACGCGUGGGGAAUCUGCCUUUGAGCGGGGGACAACAUUUGGAAACGAAUGCUAAUACCGCAUAAAAACUUUAAACACAAGUUUUAAGUUUGAAAGAUGCAGUUGCAUCACUCAAAGAUGAUCCCGCGUUGUAUUAGCUAGUUGGUGAGGUAAAGGCUCACCAAGGCGAUGAUACAUAGCCGACCUGAGAGGGUGAUCGGCCACAUUGGGACUGAGACACGGCCCAAACUCCUACGGGAGGCAGCAGUAGGGAAUCUUCGGCAAUGGACGAAAGUCUGACCGAGCAACGCCGCGUGAGGGAAGAAGGUUUUCGGAUCGUAAAACUCUGUUGGUAGAGAAGAACGUUGGUGAGAGUGGAAAGCUCAUCAAGUGACGGUAACUACCCAGAAAGGGACGGCUAACUACGUG
rnacentral:rRNA from 1 species